UACGAAGGGGGCUAGCGUUGUUCGGAAUUACUGGGCGUAAAGCGUGCGCAGGCGGUUUUGUAGGUCUGUCGUGAAAUCCCCGGGCUCAACCUGGGAAUGGCGAUGGAGACUGCAAGGCUAGAGUUUGGCAGAGGGGGGUAGAAUUCCACGUGUAGCAGUGAAAUGCGUAGAGAUGUGGAGGAACACCGAUGGCGAAGGCGGCUUCCUGGACCGACACUGACGCUGAGGCGCGAAAGCUAGGGGAGCAAACGGG
rnacentral:rRNA from 1 species